GCCAGACUCCUACGGGAGGCAGCAGUGAGGAAUAUUGGUCAAUGGACACAAGUCUGAACCAGCCAUGCCGCGUGCAGGAUGACGGCUCUAUGAAUUGUAAACUGCUUUUGUACGAGGGUAAACCCCGAUACGUGUAUCGGGUUGAAAGUAUCGUACGAAUAAGGAUCGGCUAACUCCGUGCCAGCAGCCGCGGUAAUACGGAGGAUCCGAGCGUUAUCCGGAUUUAUUGGGUUUAAAGGGUGCGUAGGCGGUUUGAUAAGUUAGAGGUGAAAUGUCGGGGCUCAACCCCGAAACUGCCUCUAAUACUGUUGGACUAGAGAAUAGUUGCGGUAGGCGGAAUGUAUGGUGUAGCGGUGAAAUGCUUAGAUAUUGCGCAGAACUCCGAUUGCGAAGGCAGCAUACCGGCGGCGAUCUGACGCUGAGGCACGAAAGCGUGGGUAUCGAACAGGAUUAGAUACCCCAGUACC
rnacentral:rRNA from 1 species